AGCCGAUAAAUAGAUUGAUUAUCGAAUUUUUAUUACAUGCAUACAUUGGAAAUAUUCGUUGACACUGGAUUAUAACUAUGUUACACUUAGGCCAUAGCUAGCAAGAUAGCUGGAAGUUUUUAUCUUAGGAGGAUUGUGUCAUGCAAGGUAAAGUAAAAUGGUUUAGUGCAGAAAAAGGUUAUGGCUUCAUUGAAAGAGAAGACGGCGGCGACGUAUUCGUUCACUUCUCUGCCAUUCAGGAAGACGGCUUCAAGUCUUUGACUGAAGGUCAAGAAGUUGAAUUCGAUAUCGUAGACGGCGCUCGUGGCCCUCAGGCAGCUAACGUAACAAAAGCGUAAACUACGGUAACGACCUUUAUGACGGUAACUUCGGUUACCGUCUUUUUU
rnacentral:sRNA from 1 species